rnacentral:lncRNA from 1 species
UCCUCGCCCGUCGGCCCCGCGGGCUCUCCCCGCUCCCUCCCCUCGCCCCGCAGCGCAGCCCCGCUCACCCCCUCCGGCCGCCGCCUAGGUCCGAUCUCCCGCUGCCCGCGGUCCCUCCUCUCGCCCGGACCGCCGGCUGGCCCCUCGGGAUCCCCCGGUCGCGCUAUCCCCGGGGACUCCCUCCCCACCUCGGGACACCCCGUCCCCCCACGCACCCCCGGGGGUGCCCUGGUCCGCGGGGCCGGGCCGGUCACUCACCGCCGGCGGGGAGCCGAGGCUGACCGGAGCGCGCGCCGCCGCCGCUCUCCGCCCGCUGCCUUUAUUUUCCUCUUUUUGUUCGCCGCUCCCCAUUCAGGUGGCGGCACCCCCGGCCCCGCGCGCGGGGGGGGGGGAGGCGGGGCUCCCCGCCGCCCGCCGCCAAUCGCCGGCAAAGGUGUGUGAGGCGGCCACCAAUGGGCGCCGGGCCCCCGCGCGUGAUCGGCGGCUGCCCCGCGGCGUGGCCAGUGUGUCAGCGCGGCGUGUGCGCGGCCCGCGCUGGAACAGUUCUAACUAUCAGAAAACAGCUCCAUCCCGCUCUGCGUGGUCAGGAUCAUUGUCCCGGCACUUACCAGGAACCAUCUUCAGACCCCUUCCAAAAAAGGACACUUCCAGCAUCGAUGUGAGUGUGAGUGGAAGAGAAAGCAACGAGUGAGGGUCGGGGGGUUCCUGUGCCCACAGAAGGCUUUGUCAGAUAAGAAUGAGAGCCGACAAGUCAGACUCCAAGCCCUGGAAGGACUACAUGCCCCGCAGCUUCCCCUGCGAU